CGCGGCCUAUCAGCUUGUUGGUGAGGUAAUGGCUCACCAAGGCUUCGACGGGUAGCCGGCCUGAGAGGGCGACCGGCCACAUUGGGACUGAGAUACGGCCCAAACUCCUACGGGAGGCAGCAGUGGGGAAUAUUGCACAAUGGGCGAAAGCCUGAUGCAGCAACGCCGCGUGCGGGAUGACGGCCUUCGGGUUGUAAACCGCUUUCAUCCAUGACGAAGCUUUUUGUGACGGUAGUGGGAGAAGAAGCACCGGCUAACUACGUGCCAGCAGCCGCGGUGAUACGUAGGGUGCGAGCGUUGUCCGGAUUUAUUGGGCGUAAAGAGCUUGUAGGCGGUUUGUCGCGUCGGGAGUGAAAACUCAGGGCUUAACCCUGAGCCUGCUUCCGAUACGGGCAGACUUGAGGAAGGUAGGGGAGAGUGGAAUUCCUGGUGGAGCGGUGGAAUGCGCAGAUAUCAGGAGGAACACCAGUGGCGAAGGCGGCUCUCUGGACCUUUCCUGACGCUGAGAAGCGAAAGCGUGGGGAGCAAACAGGCUUAGAUACCCUGGUAGUCCACGCCGUAAACGGUGGGUACUAGGUGUGGGGGACAUUCCACGUUCUCCGUGCCGCAGCUAACGCAUUAAGUACCCCGCCUGGGG
rnacentral:rRNA from 1 species